rnacentral:rRNA from 1 species
CUGCAGCCCGAGUGGUGAUCGAUUUUAUUGAGCCUAAAGCGUCCGUAGCCGGACUAGUAAACCCUUGGGUAAAUUGGGCAGCUUAACUGUCCAAAUUCCGAGGGGACUGCUAGUCUUGGGACCGGGAGAGGUCAGAGGUACUCAAGGGGUAGGGGCUAAAUCCUGUAAUCCUUUGGGGACCACCAGUGGCGAAGGCGACUGACUAGAACGGAUCCGACGGUAAGGGACGAAACCCUGGGGCGCGAACCGGAUUAGAUACCCGAGUAGUCC